GGUUAAGUGAAUAAGGGCGCACGGUGGAUGCCUUGGCACUAGGAGCCGAUGAAGGACGGGACUAACACCGAUAUGCUUUGGGGAGCUGUACGUAAGCUAUGAUCCAGAGAUUUCCGAAUGGGGGAACCCAACAUCUUUAAUAGGAUGUUACGAUUGUGUGAAUACAUAGCACAUUCGAGGUAGACGCAGAGAACUGAAACAUCUAAGUACCUGCAGGAAGAGAAAGAAAAUUCGAUUCCCUGAGUAGCGGCGAGCGAAACGGGAAAAGCCCAAACCAGCAAGCUUGCUUGUUGGGGUUGUAGGACUCCAAUAUGGUAGUUCUUUCAGAUAGUCGAAUGACUUGGAAAAGUCAGUCAAAGAGGGUAAAAACCCCGUAGACGAAAUGUGGAAGACACCUAGGAGGAUCCUGAGUACGGCGGAACACGAGAAAUUCCGUCGGAAUCCGGGAGGACCAUCUCCCAAGGCUAAAUACUCCCUAGUGACCGAUAGUGAACCAGUACCGUGAGGGAAAGGUGAAAAGCACCCCGGAAGGGGAGUGAAAUAGAACCUGAAACCGUGUGCCUACAACAAGUCAAAGCCCGUUAAUGGGUGAUGGCGUGCCUUUUGUAGAAUGAACCGGCGAGUUACGAUUGCAUGCGAGGUUAAGUUGAAGAGACGGAGCCGCAGCGAAAGCGAGUCUGAAUAGGGCGUUUGAGUAUGUAGUCGUAGACCCGAAACCAUGUGAUCUACCCAUGUCCAGGUUGAAGGUGCGGUAAAACGCACUGGAGGACCGAACCCACGUACGUUGAAAAGUGCGGGGAUGAGGUGUGGGUAGCGGAGAAAUUCCAAACGAACUUGGAGAUAGCUGGUUCUCUCCGAAAUAGCUUUAGGGCUAGCCUCGGAAUUGAGAAUGAUGGAGGUAGAGCACUGUUUGGACUAGGGGCCCAUCUCGGGUUACCGAAUUCAGAUAAACUCCGAAUGCCAUUCAUUCAUAUCCGGGAGUCAGACUGUGAGUGAUAAGAUCCAUAGUCGAAAGGGAAACAGCCCAGACCACCAGCUAAGGUCCCAAAAUAUAUGUUAAGUGGAAAAGGAUGUGGGGUUGCACAGACAACUAGGAUGUUGGCUUAGAAGCAGCCACCAUUUAAAGAGUGCGUAAUAGCUCACUAGUCGAGUGACCCUGCGCCGAAAAUGUACCGGGGCUAAACAUAUUACCGAAGCUGUGGAGUACACCUUUAGGUGUAUUGGUAGGAGAGCGUUCUAAGGGCGUCGAAGGCAGAUCGUGAGGACUGCUGGAGCGCUUAGAAGUGAGAAUGCCGGUAUGAGUAGCGAAAGACAGGUGAGAAUCCUGUCCACCGAAUGACUAAGGUUUCCUGGGGAAGGCUCGUCCGCCCAGGGUUAGUCGGGACCUAAGCCGAGGCCGACAGGCGUAGGCGAUGGAUAACAGGUUGAUAUUCCUGUACCCGUUGUUUUUGUUUGAGCAAUGGAGGGACGCAGGAGGCUAAGGAAUGCAGACGAUCGGAAAUGUCUGUCCAAGCAGUAAGUCUGAAGAGGAGUCAAAUGCUUCUUUUCUUAAGGACAAGCUGUGAUGGGGAGGGAAAUAAUAGUACCGAAGUUCCUGAUGUCACACUGCCGAGAAAAGCUUCUAGUGAGAAAACAGCGGCCCGUACCGCAAACCGACACAGGUAGUCGAGGAGAGAAUCCUAAGGUGAGCGAGAGAACUCUCGUUAAGGAACUCGGCAAAAUGACCCCGUAACUUCGGGAGAAGGGGUGCUGAUCAUACGAUCAGCCGCAGUGAAUAGGCCCAAGCGACUGUUUAUCAAAAACACAGGUCUCUGCAAAAUCGUAAGAUGAAGUAUAGGGGCUGACGCCUGCCCGGUGCUGGAAGGUUAAGAGGAGUGCUUAGCGCAAGCGAAGGUACGAAUUGAAGCCCCAGUAAACGGCGGCCGUAACUAUAACGGUCCUAAGGUAGCGAAAUUCCUUGUCGGGUAAGUUCCGACCCGCACGAAAGGCGUAACGAUUUGG
rnacentral:rRNA from 1 species